ensembl:misc_RNA Metazoa_SRP Metazoan signal recognition particle RNA
GCCGGGUGUGGUGGCUCAUGCCUGUAAUCCCAGCACUUUGGGAGGCUGAGACGGGAGGAUUGCUUGAGCUCAGGAGUUCCAGACCAGCCUGGGCAACAUGGUGAGACCCCGUCUCUA